UACAGAGGGGCAAGCGUUAUUCGGAAUUAUUGGGCGUAAAGGGCGCGUAGGCGGCUUGGCAAGUGGAUGGUGAAAUCCCUCGGCUUAACCGAGGAACUGCCGUCCAAACUGCUUCGCUUGAGACCGGGAGAGGUGAGUGGAAUUCCCAGUGUAGCGGUGAAAUGCGUAGAUAUUGGGAGGAACACCAGUGGCGAAGGCGGCUCACUGGACCGGUACUGACGCUGAAGCGCGAAAGCGUGGGGAGCAAACGGGG
rnacentral:rRNA from 1 species